rnacentral:rRNA from 1 species
UACGUAGGGUGCAAGCGUUAAUCGGAAUUACUGGGCGUAAAGCGUGCGCAGGCGGUUGGCAAAGUCAGCUGUGAAAGCCCCGGGCUUAACCUGGGAAUGGCGGUUGAAACUAGUCGACUAGAAUCUGGCAGAGGGGGGUGGAAUUCCACGUGUAGCAGUGAAAUGCGCAGAUAUCAGGAGGAACACCGGUGGCGAAGGCGGGUUGCUGGGCUGACACUGACGCUGAUGCGCGAAAGCUAGGGGAGCGAACGGG